rnacentral:rRNA from 1 species
UACGUAGGUGGCAAGCGUUGUCCGGAUUUACUGGGCGUAAAGCGUGGGCAGGCGGAUCUUUAAGUAGGAAGUGAAAGGCGGGAGCUUAACUCCUGGACUGCUCCCUAUACUGGGGGUCUUGAGUGCCGGAGAGGACUAGGGAACGGGUUGUGUAGCGGUGAAAUGCGUUGAUAUAACAUAGAACACCGAUUGCGAAGGCAGCUUACUACACAAAUAUUGACGCUGAGGCACGAAAGCGUGGGGAUCAAACAGG